UCGUGGGAGGUCAGUUUUGACAUUUGGAUGUAACAAUUGGGGAUUACAAGUUUGAUGGACGACCGACGCUACAGACUAUGGCCUAUGGGAUAUACAAUAACUUGGGGAUGUGGUGUUGCCAAUCCUCGGACUAUUUUAGGCCGACGGGAUUAUUCACGCCAUCAGAUUAGAAAAGGUUGUUCACAUUUCACAACAGGGCCUGGUUUCUGGUUAAUGAAGCGAUUUACCUGUUAGAAAAGAUGGGAUUUCAUUCAUCACCAACGAAAUUAUAGUGGAUAAUGUGCAUUUAUCUCAAUGGCGGCAUCUACCAGGUACCGUGGGGAGCUAAUCUGACAAUUCCAUGUAUUUUCUAUGCCAUAUGCAACAAGGUUCUCUAGGUUUAAUUUGGGUCAAAUUUUUUGGAUACGUGUCGGUAGAAAGGCAAAGUAAUUGGGCUUUUUCCUGAAUGCUGUUUUCCCCCUCUGUAUAUAUGGAUUGAAGAUUCUGAUACAUCAUGUAAACUUGGGAGCUGAGGUUGCAUUUCUUGAUUCUCCUUCCAGGAGUUUGCUCUACCUCUGAUAUCUUCCGCCAUCAAGCAUAAAACUGCCUCACCAAUUUUAGCUUUCCCCUGAAAACUUCUGGCGUUCCUCUCGAGCCAUAUGUGAUGUACAGUACCAGCAGGGCCAGCUUGUACAUAACACUAGCCAAGUUCUUCCCCUUCAUGUUCCUCAGAAUCAAUGCUAACUCUGAGCUCCAAGGAGCGGGAGUCUUGACUAUCCCCUUUAUCCUCAACAAGUUUGCCCAAACCCACGUUGAGUACAUAGAAUGAAAGAAGAGAUGGUCGGUAGUUUCUUUCUUCCAUUCUACUGCAAAGAACUCAAUGGGGAACAACAUUUAUGUUCCAAGUUCGAAUUCUCUCUUUUGUUGCUAGUAUAGCUCUGCAGCAAAGCCAUAGAAUAAAUGCCCAUAUUGGGACAUUACCUUUGAACCACACUAUAUGGUGCCACGGAACCUGCUGACUUGAAAUAAGUUGUUGUCUCAAAUGAAAGUACAAAUUCUGCAGCGCCGUCACUCUAGAGAACAUGGUUAGUAAUAGCCAACUUAAAUUUUCAUAUUCUUGCCCAUGGGAGCUUGGUCACUGAAGAUGAAGAGGAGAACCACUUUCAAGUUUUCACUGUUAUCUUCAGUUCUACAUUUGGGGGGAGUUGUGGAUUCCAGAUACCACAUCUCACAAUAGUAGACACGAUACUGGGCUUGUGACAUAUCUGGUUUAUGCAUAUUUUAAGGUCUAAAUAUCUGAGACACAAAUGUCUGGGAGGUAGGGUUUACCAACUCUAAAAACUGUCCGCUAUUGGAGUAAAUCUAACGGGGGCUGCUUUACCUGUUUUUUUCCUUCCAGGGAGAACAAGUCGAUAAAGUGUUUCUAUCCCUAUCUUUUGUAUUUUUCCUCUUUGGAUGCCACAGAAACAAAGGACUGUUUUAAAGUACUUCCUUGCAUGUAGUUCUCGAUCCUAGUGAUUGUGUGAUGAAAAAUGACAGCCUCGUGGUUAGGGCUGUAUGUGAAG